AUUAACUUUGCCUGUAGUAAGAAUAUCACUUUCACCGUUGAAGCCAUUUUCUCAUUUCUCACAUUUCAUCCCUCUUUACUGUAUCAGUGCCUCCAUCACCUCACUUUGCUAUCGCAACCUCUUCACUUCACCGUUGCCGCCAUCUCUUCCUCUUCCUCACACCAAGUUCUACACCGAACGACUCAAGUAACAUUAUUGGCUACCACCACCUCAUCCUCAAUCUGCGUUGGUUGUCGCUAGUUCAUGUCACAGUCUCUGUCGAUGGCUUGUAGCCUCGUGUGGUGGUUUCUAUCGCCGCCUCUGUCAUACAUUAUGAUCUCUAGUUUCAGUUCGCACCUCAGUAACCUUUUCAUCCAUCUCUUAUUCAAUUGUGGUUCCUUAUUUGAGAAAUUCUCAUUUUCUAGGGUUUAUGUGAUUCAUGCUAACUAAUCCAUUCUUGCAUAUCAUCAUGCGCCGAUUUUUAUGCUCCAGGAGAAAUUAAUUUGAAAUUUGGAUUUGCUAGUGUGAGGCUGGCUUGAGGCUCAGUGAAUUUGCAUACUCACCAUUUCGGUCCUCCUUUAAAGAUGUCAACCAUGGCACCUGAAGCAUAUAAGGAGACAGUCCUUCAGGCAAAAGAACAUAUUAAGGCAGGGGAUAUUCACUUUGUUGCAGAGAGGCAAAGGAGAACCAAAACCCCAUUAUAGUAAUUAGUAAUGGCAGAGGAUAAGGGAUUCUCUGUCUUGGAUAAUAGAUUUGGGUAUGACAAGAAGAGUGACACUGAUAUUAUGUAUCCUAUGUAUUUUGGUGUUUCUUGUGCGUUUUUUGCACUCCAAGCACUCACAAAACCACAUGUUGAGGUUGAAAAAUGGAGUGAAAUUCGUGACAGCAUACUCCAAGGGAGUGCACAGGUACUUGGGUUGAUUGUGUGGAAGGUUCAGAAAGGGAUUUCGGAUGGGGAAGAAUAUAGGUCUUCAAGCUUAGGAAUGCUGAGAGGGAGAUUGAGAAUCUCAAGAAGAUGAGGCAUGAGGAUGCAAAGGCCAAUGAGAAAGUUGUGGGGAUCUUUGCUACACAGGAGCAGAGUUGGUUGCAAGAAAGGCGAAAACUUCGGGAGCACAUUGGGGCACUGAUGAAUGAGCUGAGAGUGUUUGAAAAGAAAAAGGAUGAGGUUGUCUCUGAAAUGAGCCAGAAAUUGAAGGAAAUAGAGGAUUUGCUGGAGUCCAGGGACAAAGUGAUUCAAGAAGGGGAGCAGAAGAGGAAGGAGUUGGAGGAAAAUCUUGUAAAGGCUGAAAGGGAAGCAGAAGAAUUGAGAGAAUCUGUUAAGCUUGAAGCUCAGGAACACUCCUCUGAUCUCAGGAAGCACAAAACUGCCUUCAUUGAGCUGGUGUCAAACCAACGGCAGCUAGAAGCGGAGCUUGGCCGCGCCAUGAAGCAGUUGGAGGCUGCAAAGCAGGAGCUUGGUUCAGUCUUGGAGAAGAAGGAGGAGUCAGAAUUGUUGGCCCAAAAAUUGUCUAUUGAAAUUGUAUUUUGGUUGAACUUUUGUAUUUGUGUCUUUAUGCAUCUGACCUGUUCGACGAAAUGCUUCAUCCAUCUAAGGAAAUCAAGGGUGAAUUCAACUCCGGUAAAUCAACGGUGAUUAAUGCACUUCUUGGGGAAAGAUACCUGAAAGAGGGAGUUGUUCCAACUACUAAUGAGAAAGAAAUGACAAUUGUUGAUACGCCUGGAAAUAAUGUGAUUCUUCAGAGGCAACAACGUCUCACAGAGAAAUUCGUACCACGCGUUGACUUGUGACACAAGAUUGCCGAUAUGCCAAGCAGGACUUAGCUGCAGUGAAUGGUAUUGUCAAUAGUGUAAAUGAUUUUGCAAUGGAUAUGAAAACCAAGAGCCUUUCUUGGAGGAGACAAACUUCUUCUUUGGUAAUUGAGUAGGGUACUCAUCAUCGGUUGGAAAAGAUUGGGGAUGGAAUUCGUAUUUAGAAGAGAGUGUCUAAUCUCUUACCAAUUUGCCGUAGGAGUUAAGGCCGUGACAUCCUUUUCUUCAAAUUCCAUCUUUCUCACAAGCUGAUAUCGUCCCUCAAGCUUCACUUGGUCCAAUAAUAAUGGGAGUGCAAUGAAUAAGGGUCGGGCAGGGAGAAGGGAUUGCUAAAGUUUUUCUGAGCAUUAUUUUAUUACUUUCUUUUUUCCACUACCAUCACUUUAAUUCUGACGUAUACAGUUAUCAUGAGGGAACAAACUAUAUACGUAAGCCCAAAUUCAAAUACAUGUUCUGUGAAAAGCUUCUAUAACAUAAAGAUAUUUGUUCAAGCUUGGAAGUAAUUUUAGCUUUGAUUGAAUGGUGUUACUGUUUAUUACUUUCUGUUAAAACUGAGAUGCAGAACUAGCUAGGAUGUGGAUUGAUGGAAGAUAGUAUUGGUUAUUUAGAUGUAUGAUCUGAUUUGUUUCUUAUCUGCAUGUGGCUCUUGUCAUAUUUUGCUGAAGAGUGUUCUGAUUGAACCAAGUAGAAAUACUGGCAUCGGAUUAGCUUUCAUGGCCGUAGCCAAGGGUUACAAGGUCAAAAUUACAAUGCCUGCUUCAAUGAGUCUCGAAAGGAGAAUCACUCUGUUGGCUUUCGGGGCUGAGUUGGUUCUGACAGACCCUGCAAAGGGAAUGAAGAGAUUGUGGCUAAGACUUCCAAUUCCUACAUGCCUCAACAAUUUGUGUAUAUAAUGUAGAUUUACUCUUAAAUCCUUUUUUUCUUGUAGUAUUUAUGUUGUUUAAAUUUGUAUUAUGUUUUAUUACUUUUCAAGAGAAAAUUUUGUAUAAAUAUUUUGAAUUUAAUAAAGGUUUAAUUACUCUGUUGGUCCC